ensembl:lncRNA
GGGUAUUACAAAGGCCAUAUGAAAGGCUUUGGACUUCCACAGGUCAUAGAAUCGUUGGAAUUUAAUGGAACUUUUCCAGCUCUAGGGGAUUAAGAUCUGGAUUGCCUGUAUAGGCACACAACUACACUGUGAAGUAGUGAGUGUGCUGCUGGAAGUAGGUGCAAACUGCUGUGGACUUCAACAACUAAUCUCCUUGGGAGAGCUGGGGAAGCUUCCUGGAGAAGCCUGAGACAAGCCGUGGUUCCCAGGGGCUCUCAGGAAAGCCCAUCUGAAGUCUGAAGUUGAAAGAUCCAGUAAGUUUCUUUUAGAAGGGAAGAAUUGGGUAUACUGGCCUGCGUUCCCAAGGAUGGUGCUCCACUAGAUUGAAAUGAUCCAGUCUACCGAGGUCCCAUUGCACUGGCUUCACACCUUUGCAUUCCCAGCCUUGCUACUGUGAGUGCACAGAAGUACCACCGUGGCUAGGUGCCCUCUACCACCAUUUGCAGCUUUAAACUUUGAAGACUUCUGUAAAUCUUCCUUUUAUUAUUGCAUAUGAGCCUGCUUCUGUAGGUUAAGAGAGUGAAUUACUCUGCAAUGGAUCUGGAAUCAACUUGGAGAUUCUGGAAGAAUCACUGUACUAUCUUUGACAAUCUGGGGAAAUUUUAAACAUAGGUUAAGUCUGAAAGCUGUAACUGGACUCAGCUUUGAACAUUUGCCUAUGCCCUCAUCUGACCUCAUUUGCUUUCUGCUGUAUAUUAAAAUAGUUUAUAUAUGGUAAGUGUAUUCCAUAAAGUGCAUAUAUCUUAAUAUGUGCAAUCUGAUGAAUUUUCAAAACUAUAACUACCAUUCCAAUUAUGAUAUACAGCAUUCUAAUCUCAGAAUUUCCCUUUGGUACCUCUCCAGUCUAUCUGCGGGGGAGAGAGAGAGGAAUGCAAGCUCCCCCUCUAGAGUCAGCCACUAAUAUCACUAUAGCUGAAUCAUCUCUGUUCUUGAAAUUCAUAAAAAUUGAACCAUAUAGUAAGUACUCUUUUGUGCCUGUUUUCUUUCUCUGAACAUAGUAUUUUUUGAGAUCCGUCCAUGUCAUUAUAUCCACCAGUAGUUUGUUCCUUUGAAUUAGUGAUCAUAUUCCAUAGAACAACUAUGCCUCAUUUUUUAUGUAUUUAUUUUUAUGUUGGUGGACAUUUGAUUGUUUCCAGUGUCUUGCUUUUAUGAAUAAAGCUGCAAUGAGCAUUGCUG